AUAUUUUCAAAAUGAUUCCAUUAUUAUAUUAUCAGAUUUCUUGAAAUACUAUAAUAAUUUCAUUCUUGUUUGGAAUCCAUUAUGUUUGCUUGGGUGGAAUCAUUACAAUACUAUAUCAUUAUACUAUUGUUUCGAAUCUAUUAUUGGACUAUCAUUAUAUUAUUGUUUGUAAUCCAUUAUGUUUGGGUAGAGAUGUCUUCAGCGGUUGUUAUGUCAUCGUGUAUAGGUAAAUUCAUUAUGCAGUAUCAUAAUCACAGGAACCAUAAGAUUUUUAGUAGGCUAAAGUUGAUGGCAGAUACAACAAGCUUAUUAACUGAUUCUGCAACUAAAAGUUAUGUGGACUAUACAACAAGCUUUUUUGUUAUGAAGUAUUGUGUAACAUUGGUUAUGAAGUAUAUUAUGGACUGGUUAUGAAGUAUUGUGUAAGAUUGUUACAGACCUCUUAUAUUUAUUAAGUAAUAUUAGUAGUCUCUAAACUUGGUUGAAGUAUUUAAUUUACAAGUGAAAUGAGUUUCUCAACUAGUAUCUCUAUCUCUUAAGUUUUUUAGGCUAGUAAUUGGCCAAGCUAGAUUGCCUUCUUCCCGUUUAUGAAAGAGGAUACUUUGUUUGGAAACAUAGCCAUUGAGCUGCUCAAUGAAUGAAAGCCUAUAGCUGCUUGUUCUUAUUGUUUCUACUUUGUAUUGAUUUCUCCCAAUAGUGAUAUCCUUUUUUGUUAUUUCUUGUUUCUACUGAUGUAGCCAAAUCGAGUAGAUGAAUAUUCGAGGAUUGAAGCAGCUGGAGGGAAGGUGAUACAAUGGAAAGGGCAUCAUGUAUAGGUAAAAUUAAUUUGUAUCGGUAUUUUUUUGGGAGUGCAAGUCUUGCACAUAACAUGUUUGAUAAAAUGUCUUAAUGAGAUUUGUAUGAUUCCUAUCAUUAGCUAAUGUUCAGUGCAAUUUUAGAUGUUCCAGAAUUAAUCAUAUUUUAUGUAGUUUAAUUUAGUGUUUCCAGCUGUAUGUGAAUCUAUUGACAUGGUCAUCUGUCAGAAAAAAGGUUUCUCUACACAUCUUAUUUAUCGUAG
rnacentral:lncRNA from 1 species